rnacentral:rRNA from 1 species
GACGAACGCUGGCGGCGUGCUUAACACAUGCAAGUCGAACGGAAAGGCCCUGCUUUUGUGGGGUGCUCGAGUGGCGAACGGGUGAGUAACACGUGAGUAACCUGCCCUUGACUUUGGGAUAACUUCAGGAAACUUGGGCUAAUACCGGAUAGGAGCUCCUGCUGCAUGGUGGGGGUUGGAAAGUUUCGGCGGUUGGGGAUGGACUCGCGGCUUAUCAGCUUGUUGGUGGGGUAGUGGCUUACCAAGGCUUUGACGGGUAGCCGGCCUGAGAGGGUGACCGGCCACAUUGGGACUGAGAUACGGCCCAGACUCCUACGGGAGGCAGCAGUGGGGAAUAUUGCACAAUGGGCGGAAGCCUGAUGCAGCAACGCCGCGUGCGGGAUGACGGCCUUCGGGUUGUAAACCGCUUUCGCCUGUGACGAAGCGUGAGCGACGGUAAUGGGUAAAGAAGCACCGGCUAACUACGUG